CCCAACAGAAGAAGAUGGCUCAAGACCGGCCUUUACUUGCUGUGCAGGAGGCCCUGAAGAAGUGCUUCCCGGUGGUGGAGGAGCAGCAGGGCCUGUGGGAGAGCACCCUGCGGGACUGCUCGCCGCUCCUGGCCUCCCUCAGCAACCUGGCAGAGCAGUUGCAGGCCGCGCAAAGCGUGCGGUUCCAAGAUGUGCCGGCGCUCCGGGCCUUCCCGGACUUACAGGAACGGCUGAGGCGCAAGCAGCUGGCGGCUGGGGACGUGGUCCUGGACAAGCUAGGGGAGAGGCUGUAAGGAUUUCCUCGGUGCCUUUUAGAAGGAUCUUUAAACUGGGCGCUUUCAAGUAGCUUGGGUGGAUCAGAAGAGUGUUUUUACUCGGGAGCAUGGCAUUUGAAGGUGUUUCGGCCCUUCCUUCUGUUGCGAAGGGACCACUGUCAAAAAGCCACUUUCUGGCAUUUCCCUUGUCAGAAGCCAGGCAUGUAGAAGAUACAAAAGCACAAAGGAAAAGGAGUGGAGAAGGCUUAUUAGCCCUUCUCUAUAGUUGUCUUUGGUAAAGGCAACAAGGAACUGGGCUUUAAGCUUAGCAGGUGCCAGAACUGAAGGUUUUACCUACAUUACCCAUAAAGUCCUUUAAUACCUCUGCGACUUAACCUCACUUCAUUCCAGUUUUUGCAAGUGAGGAAAUGGACUCAAGCAGGUUGCCCUUGGGCACACAUCUAGUAAAUAGUUGACUGGAUUCCAACCCCCAUCUUUUGAAACACCAAAGUCAGAGCUUUUUGUUUGUUUGUUUGUUUUUUAAGUCCAUCUUAAGAUAAAUAUAUAUUUAAAAUAUUUAUUUUUUAAUGGUAGUUGGACACAAUACCUUUAUCUUAUUUUAUUUGUAUAUGGUGCUGAGUAUCGAACCCAUGGCCUUGUACCUGCUAGGUGAGCUCUUGACUGCUGAGCCACAACCCCAGCGCCUAUGUUAUUUAUUUAUUUUUUGUGGUGCUUUGGAUUGAACCCAGUGCCUCACACAUGCUAGGCAAGCACUCUGCCCCUGAACUAUGGCCUCAGCCCUUUAAGUCCAUUUUUUAAUACCUUUAUUUAUUUAUUUAUUUUUUAUGUGGUGCUGAGGAUUGAAACCAGUGCCUCACACAUGCUAGGCAAGCACUCUACCACUGAGCGACAACCCAGCCCCAGAGCUCUUAACUAUUAUUUGUUUUGCUGUGCAUUGGUGUCUCUGUG
rnacentral:lncRNA from 1 species